rnacentral:rRNA from 1 species
UACGUAGGUGGCAAGCGUUGUCCGGAAUUAUUGGGCGUAAAGCGUGCGUAGACGGUUAUGUAAGUCGGGGGUGAAAGCCCCGGGCUCAACCUGGCAAUGCCAUUCGAGACUGCAUAGCUAGGGUGCGGAAGAGGGAAGCGGAAUUUCCGGUGUAGCGGUGAAAUGCGUAGAUAUCGGAAGGAACACCAGUGGCGAAAGCGGCUUCCUGGUCCAGCACCGACGUUCAGGCACGAAAGCGUGGGGAGCAAACAGG